CGUCAGCUAGCUUAUCAGACUGGUGUUGGCUGUUCAAUCACCACGGCAACAGCGGUCUGUAAGCUGGCCGAAG
rnacentral:pre_miRNA from 11 species